ACACAUGCGAGUUUUUGCUGGCUUGAGAACAAGCAAGGAAAAAGACAAAUCCCACCUACCCUAGCCUAAAAUACACAGUGAGUCUCAGAACCCCGCGGAAGCUGUGGCUCAUUUCUAAAGGUGCUGGCAAUAUCGAGGAAGACUUGUAUCCACAAAAUUCCAAAUGGAAAAGAGAGAAAAGAGAACAACAAACAGAUGUGUGAAAAAAAGACACGAAGUACAAAACGGAUGUAUUAAUGGCAAAUAUUAAAUAAUCAAGUCAUUAUUGUGAAUUUGGAUCUAAAUGACCUGGCAGAAACCAUGGAGAUGAUCUUGGAUUUAAAGAGGAAAAACUCAAAGCAAUGUAUUCUGAUCAAGAAAUGGCAGGAAAUGGCAGCUACCUGAUAUGGAACAAUCAACAACUGAAGGUUUAUUUUGAAUGAGAGGUGUUGUCCAACUGCGAGACGGAGUGAUUGAAGCUGAGAAUAAAUGGAAACACAAUCAAUAGUCACUCCAGUGAGGUAGGAAAGAAAGCCAUUCCGAAGUGGCAGAGAAGCUGCUUUUUCCUCCUGCAUGCUGCCUGCUAGUGUGGAUCUUGGCAUAACAGACACUACUUGGCAAAAGAUCCAUCCUUCCUUUUCCUAUACUUUGCUCAGCGGCCUGGAAGAUUGACCUCAAAAGCAAAAUCACCUGGAUUUCCUUG
rnacentral:lncRNA from 10 species